rnacentral:rRNA from 1 species
AGUGAACGCUGGCGGCGUGCUAAACACAUGCAAGUCGAACGAGAACGGGUUAUAGCUUGCUAUAAUUGUCAGCUAAGUGGCGCACGGGUGAGUAAUGUAUAGGUAAUAUGCCUCUUACUAAGGGAUAACAAAUGGAAACGUUUGCUAAUACCUUAUACUCCUUAUUAACAGAAGUUAAUAAGGGAAAGAUUUAUUGGUAAGAGAUUAGCCUGUAUUGUAUCAGUUAGUUGGUGGGGUAAUGGCUUACCAAGACUAUGACACAUAACUGGUUUGAGAGGAUGAUCAGUCACACUGGAACUGAGACACGGUCCAGACUCCUACGGGAGGCAGCAGUGGGGAAUAUUGCACAAUGGACGAAAGUCUGAUGCAGCAACGCCGCGUGGAGGAUGACACAUUUCGGUGCGUAAACUCCUUUUAUAUGAGAAGAUAAUGACGGUAUUAUAUGAAUAAGCACCGGCUAACUCCGUGCCAGCCGCCGCGGUAAUAC